AGCGAACGCUGGCGGCAGGCCUAACACAUGCAAGUCGAACGGACCCUUCGGGGUUAGUGGCGGACGGGUGAGUAACACGUGGGAACGUGCCUUUAGGUUCGGAAUAGCUCCUGGAAACGGGUGGUAAUGCCGAAUGUGCCCUUCGGGGGAAAGAUUUAUCGCCUUUAGAGCGGCCCGCGUCUGAUUAGCUAGUUGGUGAGGUAACGGCUCACCAAGGCGACGAUCAGUAGCUGGUCUGAGAGGAUGACCAGCCACACUGGGACUGAGACACGGCCGAGACUCCUACGGGAGGCAGCAGUGGGGAAUCUUGCGCAAUGGGCGAAAGCCUGACGCAGCCACGCUGCGUGAAUGAUGAAGGUCUUAGGAUUGUAAAAUUCUUUCACCGGGGGCGAUAAUGACGGUACCCGGAGAAGAAGCCCCGGCUAACUUCGUGCCAGCCGCCGCAGUAA
rnacentral:rRNA from 1 species